AUACUUACCUGGCAGGGGAGACACCAUGAUCAGAAAGGUGGUUUUCCUGGGCAAGGCUCAUCCAUUGUGCUGACCCCUGCGAUUUCCCCAAGUGCGGGAAACUGCAUAAUUUGUGGUAGUGGGGGACUGCGUCCACGCUCUCCCCUG
rnacentral:snRNA from 1 species